AACGAACGCUGGCGGCAGGCUUAACACAUGCAAGUCGAGCGCGUAGCAAUACGAGCGGCAGACGGGUGAGUAACGCGUGGGAAUCUACCGUACCCUACGGAAUGGCUCCGGGAAACUGGAAGUAAUACCGUGUACGCCCGAAAGGGGAAAGAUUUAUCGGGGUAUGAUGAGCCCGCGUUGGAUUAGCUAGUUGGUGGGGUAAAGGCCUACCAAGGCGACGAUCCAUAGCUGGUCUGAGAGGAUGAUCAGCCACAUUGGGACUGAGACACGGCCCAAACUCCUACGGGAGGCAGCAGUGGGGAAUAUUGGACAAUGGGCGCAAGCCUGAUCCAGCCAUGCCGCGUGAGUGAUGAAGGUCUUAGGAUUGUAAAGCUCUUUCACCGAUGAAGAUAAUGACGGUAGUCGGAGAAGAAGCCCCGGCAAACUUCGUGCCAGCAGCCGCCGUAA
rnacentral:rRNA from 1 species